GACGAACGCUGGCGGCGUGCUUAACACAUGCAAGUCGAACGGACAGGCCCUGCUUGCGGGGUACUCGCGUGGCCAACGGGUGAGUAACACGUGGGUGGUCUGCCCUGCACUUCGGCAUAAGCCUCGUCAACAGAGUCUAAUACCGGCUAGGAGACAUUUUUAGUGGGAUGGUUGAAAAGUUUUUUCGGUGUAGGAUGAGCUCGCGGCCUAUCAGCUUGUUGGUGGGGUAAUGGCCUACCGAGGCGGCGACGGGUAGCCGGCCUGAGAGGGUGGACGGCCACCCUGGGACUGAGGUACGGCCCAGACUCCGACGGGAGGCAGCAGGGGGGAAGAUUGCACAAGGGGCGCCAGCCUGAUGCAGCGGCGCCUCGUGGGGGAUGACGGCCUUCGUGUUGAAAACUCAUUUCGCUAGUGACGAUGCUUUUUGUGACGGUACCUAGAUAAGAAGCCCCGGCUAACUACGUG
rnacentral:rRNA from 1 species